UACGUAGGGUCCGAGCGUUGUCCGGAAUUACUGGGCGUAAAGAGCUCGUAGGUGGUUUGUCGCGUUGUUCGUGAAAACUCACAGCUCAACUGUGGGCGUGCGGGCGAUACGGGCAGACUAGAGUACUGCAGGGGAGACUGGAAUUCCUGGUGUAGCGGUGGAAUGCGCAGAUAUCAGGAGGAACACCGGUGGCGAAGGCGGGGUCUCUGGGGCAGUAACUGACG
rnacentral:rRNA from 1 species